UACAGUGAUGGAAAGAUGAAAAGAACUUUGAAAAGAGAGUGAAAAAGUACGUGAAAUUGUUGAAAGGGAAGGGCUUGAGAUCAGACUUGGUAUUUUGUAUGUUACUUCUUCGGGGGUGGCCUCUACAGUUUAUCGGGCCAGCAUCAGUUUGGGCGGUAGGAGAAUUGCGUUGGAAUGUGGCACGGCUUCGGUUGUGUGUUAUAGCCUUCG
rnacentral:rRNA from 1 species